UUUGCAGGCAGGCCUGAGGCUACUAUGGGACUCCUGACAACUCGUCUACCCUCAACAUCAACCCAGCUAAGAUCGCCAAAAACUACGCUUUCAUUGAGCUGUCUUGGACCUUUUAUGAUCAGUUUGUAGUUUAGCUUCUCGUUCUUGGCUUUGAACUCCAACUUUUCUGGCAUGACACGGACCUUUAACCCAAUCAUGGGCGUAACACUUGCGGUGUAAGUUGACUUUGCCUCUCCCACAUUGGUCACUGUUCUGUGAAAUUCUUGGACGGUUGUCAAACCCAAUCUUGAGGAGUUAGAGUUGAAGAAGGCCACAAAAGAAGGAUAGUUAAGGUCCAAAGACGGGAAGGAGCAAUCGUUAGAAGGUGACCUUGUGAUAGAUUGGAUUUGUUUUUGGGUGAAGUUUAAUGCGCAUAGGAGUUUCACGUAAUCAGUUGAAUUCAGGUCAUAAAUGAGCCCAGGGUCUAGUGCCUUGUUAGGAUUCACCUGACCAGCUCCCAUGUCCAAAGGAGUGGCCGGUUCGUUGUCAUUCCCAAUAUCUUUGAUAGGCCCUCGAAUGUGAUCCAUGGUAUUAGCAGUUGUCACCAUCGCCGAUCGGAUAGCCGCUG
rnacentral:misc_RNA from 1 species